ACCACCACAAUGAUACUCGACCAUUCUCUUUCUUUUUUUUUUUUUUAACGGGUUUCUGCACAACCCGUAUCCUUAACCUUCUCAGGCUUAUGCGAAGACACUAUAAUUUAUGUCAGUUUUUUUGGCCUCUCUUUCUUCAAUGCUUCGACUUGUUUCCCACAUAAAAUUUGUUUUUGAGGCUAUUGUUGCAGGAGAGACGUACUCAGACUCUUAUCCUUAACUCUCUCAGGCUUGUGUGAGGUGCAGUGACGUGCAGAGACGAGCUCAUGUAUUAUCAGCAUGUUAUUUGUUUGUGUAUUAGACGCCGUGUUGUUCAUGUUAGGAUAAGACUCCUAAGGCCAGAGUAAUAUAACUGAGCCAGUGGUUUUCUUGUUUAACAUCUCCUACCUUACUGAAUGAUUCUCCUAUUUUUCACGUUCUUUUUCCUCUUUUCAUGUGUGGUUGAUGAAUAUAUGAUAUAUGAAUAGAUCGGUGUUUCUAGAGGGUUUUCUUUCAUUUCUUUAUGAUUUUUGUUUUAUUAGUCGACACUUUUCUCCGUUUGAUUUCAAUUAUUAGAUUUUUGGUUAUUAGAGAUAUUAAUGAAUUAAUUAAAAUGGUAAUUUGAGUAAAUAGAAUUUACUAAGAGGAUGAGAUGGGUGCUAAACUAAUCUCCAUUGUAUAAAACCAAUGUUGUUUCACAGGUUUGUUGAGACCAAAAAGUAUAUGUAUUUGGUCUCUCCAGGAUCUCAAGCCACAUAAGAGCAGUAUUAACGCGGUAUGUUAAGGGGGUUUUUAAAGUUUUUAGGAGUUAAAAAAAAGAAAAUUAUGUAAUUAAGAAGGCACGUCUCUUAAUUAAACUCCACAAGAGCCGUGUCUUAUGAGACACGUGUUGGACAUUCCGCUCCUUGUCUCUUUCUCUCUCUUGACCGAUCGAUGCCAAGUCUCUUUCGUAUCGGCGACUCCGCCUCUCUCUUUUCUCGAUCUCUCUCGAAUGAAUCGACGAUAAUCUCUCUCUCGACGGAAUAGAACGGAAUCGACGAUGAUCUCUUCUCAACGGAAUCAGUCGAAGAUCUCUCCUUGACGGAAUCAGUUGGUGUCUCACUCAGUGGACUCCUCGUCUCUCUCUCUCUCUCUCUCUCUCUCGACGGCUCACCUCGAUGAAGAAUCACUUCACCUCUCUCUCCGGUCCGGAGCUCUCCUCAACGAAAUCAAAACGAAAGGUAAAGCUAUGUAUUUUUCCUUUUAUAUCUGAAUCCUUCUUGAUUUGUUGUGUUGGUUUCUGCCUCUUGAUUUGUCUCUGUCUUUCUUUCUUCAGAUGGACGGAUCAAGAGACGAAGGUUCGUCAAACAAGACAACUACAAUUGCAAUAAAAAUGGAUGGAUCAAAUCCCUUUUGAUUUGUUCUGUCUUUGUGCCUUUACAUGGAUGGAUCAAGAGACAUGAGCAAGGUUGACGUUGGCAAAGGAGUACAAUGCAAUAGAGAUUCACGGACUAGCUCAUUGUAGUCAUGUCUUGGUGCGAUGUAAAGAUGUCAAGUUCCAUCUCUUUGUUUCAAGACAGUGGGAGCAUUGAGAGCAUCCGUGUGUCGUUGGUUGUCACAUGUAUUGUGGGAGCAUUGGGAAGAUUAUGAGAGCAUGUAUCAUCUCCAUAAUAUGAUAGUAGAAGAUGAACGAGAUGGAUACACUCAAUUUGAUGUUUCAGAGUUCCAACAAGGAGAAGACACCGGAAGUUCACAUGUGGAUCUCACGUAUUCUACAGAUAUCCCUACAAAUAUCGCCAAUAUGAUGGGUGUUCGAACUAGAAUUCGUGAUAGGCAAAUGCAUCAACAACUGAAAGAUGAUUUGGUUGAACAUGUAUUGCGUAAAUUUGGACGUGAUAAAGGCAACAACUGAGCUCAGAUGCUUCUUUCAAAUUAUUAUAGUUUAUUUUACUAAUAUUUAUUUUUAUGUUUUUUAAAUCUAUGUUUAAAAUGUUAUCUUUUACAAUGUUUUAUUUAAUAAAUAAAUUUUAUCUUUAAUUAAAAUGCUUAAU